AUUGAACGCUGGCGGCAUGCCUUACACAUGCAAGUCGAACGGUAACAGGCCGCAAGGUGCUGACGAGUGGCGAACGGGUGAGUAAUGCAUCGGAACGUGCCCAGUUGUGGGGGAUAACUGCUCGAAAGAGCAGCUAAUACCGCAUACGACCUGAGGGUGAAAGCGGGGGAUCGCGAGACCUCGCGCAAUUGGAGCGGCCGAUGUCAGAUUAGGUAGUUGGUGGGGUAAAGGCCUACCAAGCCGACGAUCUGUAGUUGGUCUGAGAGGACGACCAGCCACACUGGGACUGAGACACGGCCCAGACUCCUACGGGAGGCAGCAGUGGGGAAUUUUGGACAAUGGGCGCAAGCCUGAUCCAGCAAUGCCGCGUGCAGGAAGAAGGCCUUCGGGAUGUAAACUGCUUUUGUCAGGGAAGAAAUCCUCUGGGCUAAUACCCCGGGGGGAUGACGGUACCUGAAGAAUAAGCACCGGCUAACUACGUGCCAGCAGCCGCGGUAACAC
rnacentral:rRNA from 1 species